rnacentral:rRNA from 1 species
AACGAACGCUGGCGGCAUGCCUAACACAUGCAAGUCGAACGAGACCUUCGGGUCUAGUGGCGCACGGGUGCGUAACGCGUGGGAAUCUGCCCUUGGGUUCGGAAUAACAGUUAGAAUGACUGCUAAUACCGGAUAAUGUCUUCGGACCAAAGAUUUAUCGCCCAGGGAUGAGCCCGCGUAGGAUUAGCUAGUUGGUGAGGUAAAGGCUCACCAAGGCGACGAUCCUUAGCUGGUCUGAGAGGAUGAUCAGCCACACUGGGACUGAGACACGGCCCAGACUCCUACGGGAGGACAGCAGUGGGGAAUAUUGGACAAUAGGGCGAAAAGCCUGAUCCAGCAAUGACCGCGUGAG